AGAGUUUGAUCCUGGCUCAGAACGAACGUUAGCGGCGCGCUUAACACAUGCAAGUCGAACGCGUGAGAGCUUGCUCUCACGAGUGGCGCACGGGUGAGUAACACGUGAGUAACCUGCCCCGGACUCUGGGAUAACUUCGGGAAACCGGAGCUAAUACCGGAUAUGACCCUCGCCUGCAUGGGCUGGGGGUGGAAAGUUUUUCGGUCUGGGAUGGGCUCGCGGCCUAUCAGCUUGUUGGUGAGGUAGUGGCUCACCAAGGCGACGACGGGUAGCCGGCCUGAGAGGGCGACCGGCCACACUGGGACUGAGACACGGCCCAGACUCCUACGGGAGGCAGCAGUGGGGAAUAUUGCACAAUGGGCGCAAGCCUGAUGCAGCGACGCCGCGUGGGGGAUGACGGCCUUCGGGUUGUAAACCUCUUUCAGCAGGGAAGAAGCGUGAGUGACGGUACCUGCAGAAGAAGCACCGGCUAACUACGUGCCAGCCGCCGCGGUAAUUC
rnacentral:rRNA from 1 species